UACGUAGGCAGCGAGCGUUGUUCGGAGUUACUGGGCGUAAAGGGUGUGUAGGCGGUUCUCUAAGUUUGGUGUGAAAUCUCCCGGCUCAACCGGGAGGGUGCGCCGAAAACUGGAGGGCUAGAGUGCGGGAAGGGAGAGUAGAAUUCCUGGUGUAGCGGUGAAAUGCGUAGAUAUCAGGAGGAACACCGGUGGCGAAGGCGGGUCUCUGGGCCGAUACUGACGCUGAGGAGCGAAAGCGUGGGGAGCGAACAGG
rnacentral:rRNA from 1 species